GUAUAGUAUUAUAGUAAUAUAUCUGUGCCUGGUGUUAGAAUCUGGGAAUGGAUAGUUUUUUCUGUUGAUUUUCUCUUUCCCUUUCUCUUGUUUCUCCUCCAAAUUUUCAGUGUUUCUGAUAACGAACAACAAAAUCAUUGAGAAACACUCCAAUCGCAAGUGCUCUUAGCAGCUGUUAAUUAAUUAUUCUUGGUUGGUAUCUGAUGGAUA